rnacentral:rRNA from 1 species
GACGAACGCUGGCGGCGUGCUUAACACAUGCAAGUCGAACGGUGAAGCGCCUUCCUUUUUGGUGGGUGUGGAUGAGUGGCGAACGGGUGAGUAACACGUGAGUAACCUGCCCCCUUCUUCUGGAUAACCGCAUGAAAGUGUGGCUAAUACGGGAUAUUCUGGGUCUGUCGCAUGAUGGGUCUGGGAAAGAUAUUGUUUCGGUGGGGGAUGGGCUCGCGGCCUAUCAGCUUGUUGGUGGGGUGAUGGCCUACCAAGGCGGUGACGGGUAGCCGGCCUGAGAGGGUGGACGGUCACACUGGGAGUGAGACACGGCCCAGACUCCUACGAGAGGCAGCAGGGGGGAAUAUUGCACAAUGCGCGCAAGUCUGAUGCAGCGACGGCGCGUGAGGGAUGGAGGCCUUCGGGGUGUGAACCUCUUUCGCCAGUGAAGCAGGCCUGCCUCGUUUGUGGGUGGGUUGACGGUAGCUGGAUAAGAAGCGCCGGCUAACUACGUG